AAAAAAUUAAACCCUGUGUUUUCGUGUCCAACGUUUGACCAUCCAUCUUAUUUAAAAAAAUUAUAAAAAAAUUAAAAAAACAAGUUAUGCAUAAAGUAUUAAUUAUAUUUUAUAUUUAAUAACAAUGAAAAUACUAAUUAUAAAAAAAUUUCAUAUAAGACGGAUAGUCAAACGUUGACACAGAAACCUAGGGUUUGUUUUUUU
rfam:Oryza glumipatula chromosome 11, whole genome shotgun sequence.